rnacentral:rRNA from 1 species
AUUGAACGCUGGCGGUAUGCUUAACACAUGCAAGUCGAACGGUAGCAGGCCUUCGGGUGCUGACGAGUGGCGGACGGGUGAGUAACGCGUAGGAAUCUGCCUCAUAGUGGGGGACAACGUGGGGAAACUCACGCUAAUACCGCAUACGCCCUACGGGGGAAAGCGGGGGAUCUUCGGACCUCGCGCUAUGAGAUGAGCCUGCGUUAGAUUAGCUAGUUGGUAGGGUAAAGGCCUACCAAGGCGACGAUCUAUAGCUGGUCUGAGAGGACGAUCAGCCACACUGGGACUGAGACACGGCCCAGACUCCUACGGGAGGCAGCAGUGGGGAAUAUUGGACAAUGGGCGCAAGCCUGAUCCAGCAAUACCGCGUGUGUGAAGAAGGCCUUAGGGUUGUAAAGCACUUUCGAUUGGGAGGAAAACCUGCCGGUCAAUACCCGGCAGCUUGACAUUACCUUUAGAAGAAGCACCGGCUAACUCCGUGCCAGCCGCCGCAGUAAUAC